GUGAACGCUGGCGGCGUGCUUAACACAUGCAAGUCGAACGAUGAAGUCCCUCGGGAUGGAUUAGUGGCGCACGGGUGAGUAAUGUAUAGGUAACAUGCCCUUAAGAGGGGGAUAACAGAGGGAAACCUUUGCUAAUACCCCAUACACCUUCUAGUCAUAAGAUUAGUUGGAAAAGUUUUCUCGCUUAAGGAUUGGCCUAUAUUGUAUCAGCUAGUUGGUGAGGUAAUGGCUCACCAAGGCUAUGACGCAUAACUGGUCUGAGAGGAUGAUCAGUCACACUGGAACUGAGACACGGUCCAGACUCCUACGGGAGGCAGCAGUGGGGAAUAUUGCACAAUGGACGAAAGUCUGAUGCAGCAACGCCGCGUGGAGGAUGACACUUUUCGGAGCGUAAACUCCUUUUAUAUGGGAAGAUAAUGACGGUACCAUAUGAAUAAGCACCGGCUAACUCCGU
rnacentral:rRNA from 1 species